rnacentral:tRNA from 1 species
CAAGAAGUAGUUUAAUUAGAAUAUCAGCUUUGGGUGUUGAUGGUAGGGAGAGAGUUCCUUCUUCUUGA